rnacentral:rRNA from 1 species
AUUGAACGCUAGCGGGAUGCCUUACACAUGCAAGUCGAACGGAGUGGCGAACGGGUGAGUAAUGUAUCGGAACGUGCCCAGUAGCGGGGGAUAACUACGCGAAAGCGUAGCUAAUACCGCAUACUAUUGGAGCGGCCGAUAACGGAUUAGCUAGUUGGUGGGGUAACGGCUUACCAGGGAGACGAUCAGUAGCUGGUUUGAGAGGACGACCAGCCACAUUGGUGCUAGGCCACGGCCCAGACUCCUACGGGAGGCAGCAGUGGGGAAUUUUGGACAAUGGGGGAAACCCUGAUCCAGCCAUCCCGCGUGUGGGAUGAAGGCCUGCGGGUUGUAAAGCACUUUUGGCAGGAAAGCGGUACCUGCAGAAUAAGCACCGGCUAACUACGUGCCAGCAGCCGCGGUAAUUC